rnacentral:lncRNA from 1 species
CAGGACAUACCUCUGCCUCCUCAAGAGAGCUCCAUUGCUCCAGCUCCCUGCCAGGGCACUACUCUUCCUCCUGGGGAGGAUCUUUGUGGGAGUCAGCUCGACUUAGGGAGCUGCACCGCCUCCUGGGGAGUUUUCCCAGCAUCCUAAGAUCAGGUCUGUUUUGCAUCUCUCCCCACUGCUCCUGUUGCCCUUGUUCUUAGUCUGGAAUCCCCAGGUCUGGACACUCGUUCUCACCUGCCUUGUCCUUUCCCUGUGUCUCCUUCCUUACCCUCCUGUUCCUUUCACAAAGUAGCAGGGAUGCCCUCAGUCAGUGACUUUUAUGCUCUGCCUCAUGCUUUGACGCCCAUGUCUUUAUCAGCUUCCUAGCAUAACCAGAGGAGUCAGAAGGACAGGACGCCUCAGUGCCAUUUUACAGAUGAUAAAAGUGAGGGUCUAAGAGAUUGGCCAUUUUUCCAAGGCCCCCUGCAGUAAGACAGAGGGAGUGAUGAGGCUCAGAUUCAGGGCUCUUGAGGCCAAGCACCUGUCUAUCAGCCCUCCUUUCACUGGCUACCUUUUUUGCCACUGCCCAGCCUUUCUGCAGAUGUCCCUAAGGUAGAGGUGUUGGAACGGGAGCUGGCCUGGCUGAAGGAGCAUCUGUCCCAGCUGGAGUCCCCUGUGGUGUUUUGUCACAAUGACCUGCUCUGCAAGAAUAUCAUCUAUGACAGCAUCAAAGGUCACGUGCGGUUCAUUGACUAUGAAUAUGCUGGCUACAACUACCAAGCUUUUGACAUUGGCAACCAUUUCAAUGAGUUUGCAG